GCCUCCUUGGCCUAAUGGAUCAGGCACCGGCCUCCUUAGCCGGGGAUUGCGGGUUCGAGUCCCGCCGGAGGUU
rnacentral:tRNA from 1 species